rnacentral:rRNA from 1 species
UACGGAGGAUCCGGGCGUUAUCCGGAUUUAUUGGGUUUAAAGGGUGCGUAGGUGGAUUGGUAAGUCAGUGGUGAAAGUUUGCAGCUUAACUGUAAAAUUGCCGUUGAAACUGCCGGUCUUGAGUGCAAAUGAGGUAGGCGGAAUGCGUCGUGUAGCGGUGAAAUGCUUAGAUAUGACGCAGAACUCCGAUUGCGAAGGCAGCUUACUGGGAUGCAACUGACGCUCAGGCACGAAGGCGUGGGGAUCAAACAGGAUUAGAUACCCGGUA